rnacentral:rRNA from 1 species
GUAACGGCGUACCUUUUGUAUAAUGGGUCAGCUAGUUAUCAAUAUAAGCGAGCUUAAGUUUUAAUGUAAGCGUAGGGAAACCGAGGAUGAAUAAUCCGAAUUAGUUUGUAUUGACAAACCCGAAACCAAGUGAUCUAAAUUUGAACAGGUUGAUACUGAUGUGGUAACACACUGUGAAGGACCGAACCCGUGUAUGUGGCAAAAUACUGGGAUGAUUUGAGUUUAGGGGUGAAAGGCUAAUCAAACUUGGAGAUAGCUGGUUUUCUGCGAAAUCUAUAUAAGUAGAGCGUUUUUGAAUUUAGCCUUGGGGUAGAGCACUGUU